CCUCUUCUUUCUUGGUCCAUGGUCGAGAACUUGUCACUUGUGGUUCUCACUAUGUAGACGCAGACUUAGGCAAUGAGAUUAUAUUUCUACCUCGGGACAUCUAUAGCGAAAACGUAGGUCACUUGUCAGGAAUAUUUAAUAAUGUACAGGCUAACAUUUGGCGAGCGCACCAGAAGAACACUUCUCGUUAUAACUUGAGACGUAAGCCAGCUGAAUUUGACGUAAAUGAUAUUGUUUGGAAACGCACUUAUUUUCAAAGUGACAAAGACAGCUACUUCAGUAAAAAGUUGGCUCCAAAAUUUACAAAAUGUCGCGUUACAAGCAAGUUAUCUCCUUUAGUUUACCAAUUAGAAGACAUGAACGGUAAAGAUCUUGGCAAAUGGCACAUCAAAGAUCUUAAAUUGGUUAGUUGAUUUUAUUAGGUUUUAUUAAAAGUAGAUUUAGUGCGGAUUUUUUUUUGAGAAAAAAAAUCCUUGUGCAGCGAGCGGGGUAAUGUAACGUUAUUUAUUUUACAACGUUACCUACUUCAUUAUUAAACUUAAUUACCUAAAUCCAUCCGCGAGCGAAAAUGGUUCGUUUGCGCUUUGCUUCGCGGAUCCCUAAAAAACUUGUCCAGCGACCGGUUCGACUCGCAGCGAGGCUUGGCCACUGCUAUUCGCCGCUGCGAUUGUUAAACGUCUCGAGACCCUCGCUGAGUUUGUGCGUGCGCGCUUCUAUCUCGUUCGCCAGCUCACCGUCACUAACGGCCGAGUCGUAAACAUUACAAUUACAUAAUUAAUUAAAGGCAAUUACGUACUUGUGUAAUUAAAUAAACUAAGUGUUGUACAUGCAGUUCCCCACACUUCUUGGGGUCCGACGUACUGGUUGAGUACCUACUUACGACGGCACUGAGAUCCGCCUGUCCACCACCGGGAAUUAACUACGGAGCCGUUCGUUACCCACGACGCUUAUUUACCGCCUCGAGAAGACGUCCCGUUAUUCCUGGGCGGCUAAGGGGAGUACCUGACCGUAAUAGCCGUACGGAGAGAUUGAACCCGAGUGUAGGGCAACCCACGAAAUUUAAUAAAGUUAUACGCUAAAUUAAA